UACAGAGGGUGCAAGCGUUAAUCGGAAUUACUGGGCGUAAAGCGUGCGUAGACGGUUACAUAAGUCGGGUGUGAAAGCCCCGGGCUCAACCUGGGAAUUGCAUUCGAGACUGCGUAGCUAGGGUGCGGAAGAGGGAAGCGGAAUUUCCGGUGUAGCGGUGAAAUGCGUAGAUAUCGGGAGGAACACCGGUGGCGAAGGCGGUUCUCUGGGCCUUACCUGACGCUGAGGAGCGAAAGCGUGGGGAGCGAACAGG
rnacentral:rRNA from 1 species